UACGUAGGGGGCGAGCGUUGUCCGGAUUUACUGGGCGUAAAGGACGCGCAGGCGGCCCGAGGGGUCUGUCGUUAAAGCCCGGGGCUCAACCCCGGGUGGUCGGCGGAGACCGGCGGGCUUGGAGGCCGGUAGAGGGAUGCGGAAUUCCCGGUGUAGUGGUGAAAUGCGUAGAGAUCGGGAGGAACACCAGAGGCGAAAGCGGCAUCCUGGGCCGGGCCUGACGCUGAGGCGUGAAAGCGUGGGGAGCGAACCGG
rnacentral:rRNA from 1 species